rnacentral:rRNA from 1 species
ACUCCUACGGGAGGCAGCAGUGGGGAAUAUUGCACAAUGGGGAAACCCUGAUGCAGCCAUGCCGCGUGUGUGAAGAAGGCCUUCGGUUGUAAAGCACUUUCAGUAGGGAGGAAGGUAGUGUAGUUAACACCUGCACUAUUUGACGUUACCUACAGAAGAAGCACCGGCUAACUCCGUGCCAGCAGCCGCGGUAAUACGGAGGGGUGCGAGCGUUAAUCGGAAUUACUGGGCGUAAAGCGCAUGCAGGCGGCCUGUUAAGUCAGAUGUGAAAGCCCGGGGGCUUAACCUCGGAAUUGCAUUUGAAACUGGCAGGCUAGAGUCUUGUAGAGGGGGUAGAAUUUCAGGUGUAGCGGUGAAAUGCGUAGAGAUCUGAAGGAAUACCAGU